rnacentral:rRNA from 1 species
GAGUUUGAUCAUGGCUCAGAACGAACGCUGGCGGCGCGCCUAAUACAUGCAAGUCGAGCGAGAAGGUGUAGCAAUACACUUGUAAAGCGGCGAACGGGUGAGGAAUGCAUGGGUAACCUACCCUCGAGUGGGGAAUAACUAGCCGAAAGGUUAGCUAAUACCGCAUACGUUUCCGGAACUUCGGUUUCGGAAAGAAAGCAAUACCGUGGGUAUUGCGCUCCUGGAUAGGCUCAUGUCCUAUCAGCUUGUUGGUGAGGUAACGGCUCACCAAGGCUUCGACGGGUAGCUGGUCUGAGAGGACGAUCAGCCACACUGGCACUGCGACACGGGCCAGACUCCUACGGGAGGCAGCAGUAAGGAAUAUUGCGCAAUGGACGAAAGUCUGACGCAGCGACGCCGCGUGGGGGAUGAAGGUCUUCGGAUUGUAAACCCCUUUCGGGAGGGAAGAUGGAGUGGGUAACCACUUGGACGGUACCUCCAGAAGCAGCCACGGCUAACUUCGUG